rnacentral:lncRNA from 1 species
CAUGAUCUCCCUGAAGUAAACCCAUAUUGUCUCUGAUCUUGAAAUCCAUGUGUUUUUUUAGAUGUUCAACAAUCCUAUCCUUUAACAUGGUUUCCAUCACUUUCCCCACUACUGAAGUAAGGCUUACUGACCUAUAGUUGCCCGACUCCUCCCUAUUACCUUUCUUGUGAAUGGGCACAACAUUCGCUAACUUCCGAUCUUCUGGGACUACACCUGUUAACAAUGAUUGGUUAAAUAAAUCUGUUAAUGGUUUUGCUAGUACACCACUAAGCUCUUUUAAUAGCUUUGGGUGUAUUCUAUCAGGUCCCGUUGACAUAUUUGUCUUUACUUUUGACAGUUGAAAUAGAACCUCUUCCUCUGUAAACUCACGUGUAAUAAAUGACUCAUUUAUUCUUUUUCUUGACUGAAGUCCCUUUCCUUAAUUUUCAUCUGUAAAUACCGAACAAAAAUAUUAAUUGAGACAGUCAGCUAGACCUAUAAUUACUAAAUGCUAACUUUUUUUUUACUAUUUUGGCCACAUCUGCGGAGUACCACAGUG